rnacentral:rRNA from 1 species
AGAGAUCUGAAGGAAUACCAGUGGCGAAGGCGGCCCCCUGGACAAAGACUGACGCUCAGAUGCGAAAGCGUGGGUAGCAAACAGGAUUAGAUACCCUGGUAGUCCACGCCGUAAACGCUGUCUACUUGGAGGUUGAGGUUUAGACUUUGGCUUUCGGCGCUAACGCAUUAAGUAGACCGCCUGGGGAGUACGGCCGCAAGGUUAAAACUCAAAUGAAUUGACGGGGGCCCGCACAAGCGGUGGAGCAUGUGGUUUAAUUCGAUGCAACGCGAAGAACCUUGCCUACUCUUGACAUCCAGCGAAGCCUUUAGAGAUAGAGGCGUGCCUUCGGGAGCGCUGAGACAGGUGCUGCAUGGCUGUCGUCAGCUCGUGUUGUGAAAUGUUGGGUUAAGUCCCGCAACGAGCGCAACCCUUAUCCUUGUUUGCCAGCACAUAAUGGUGGGAACUCCAGGGAGACUGCCGGUGAUAAACCGGAGGAAGGUGGGGACGACGUCAAGUCAUCAUGGCCCUUACGAGUAGGGCUACACACGUGCUACAAUGGCAGAUACAGAGGGCAGCGAAGCUGCGAAGUGGAGCGAAUCCCUUAAAGUCUGUCGUAGUCCGGAUUGGAGUCUGCAACUCGACUC